GCAUCUAUGGCAGAGUGGUCGAAUGCACCGCACUCAUAAUGCGGUUCUUAUCUAGACAGCAUUGGUUCGAAUCCAAUUGGAUGCA